AUUGAACGCUGGCGGCAUGCCUUACACAUGCAAGUCGAACGGCAGCACGGGAGCAAUCCUGGUGGCGAGUGGCGAACGGGUGAGUAAAGUAUCGGAACGUGCCCAGUCGUGGGGGAUAACGUAGCGAAAGUUACGCUAAUACCGCAUACGAUCUAUGGAUGAAAGCGGGGGAUCGCAAGACCUCGCGCGAUUGGAGCGGCCGAUAUCAGAUUAGGUAGUUGGUGGGGUAAAGGCUCACCAAGCCGACGAUCUGUAGCUGGUCUGAGAGGACGACCAGCCACAAUGGGACUGAGAAACGGCCCAGACUCCUACGGGAGGCAGAAGUGGGGAAUUUUGGACAAUGGGCGAAAGCCUGAUCCAGCCAUGCCGCGUGCAGGAUGAAGGCCUUCGUGUUGUAAACUGCUUUUGUACGGAACGAAAAGGUUUGGGCUAAUAAGCUGAGCUCAUGACGGUACCGUAAGAAUAAGCACCGGCUAACUACGUGCCAGCAGCCGCGGUAA
rnacentral:rRNA from 1 species